rnacentral:rRNA from 1 species
GAUGAACGCUGGCGGCGUGCCUAAUACAUGCAAGUCGAGCGAACAGACGAGGAGCUUGCUCCUCUGACGUUAGCGGCGGACGGGUGAGUAACACGUGUAUAACCUACCUAUAAGACUGGGAUAACUUCGGGAAACCGGAUCUAAUACCGGAUAAUAUAUUGAACCGCAUGGUUCAAUAGUGAAAUACGGUUUUGCUGGCACUUAUAGAUGGAUCCGCGCCGCAUUAGCUAGUUGGUAAGGUAACGGCUUACCAAGGCAACGAUGCGUAGCCGACCUGAGAGGGUGAUCGGCCACACUGGAACUGAGACACGGUCCAGACUCCUACGGGAGGCAGCAGUAGGGAAUCUUCCGCAAUGGGCGAAAGCCUGACGGAGCAACGCCGCGUGAGUGAUGAAGGUCUUCGGAUCGUAAAACUCUGUUAUUAGGGAAGAACAAAUGUGUAAGUAACUAUGCACGUCUUGACGGUACCUAAUCAGAAAGCCACGGCUAACUACGUG